rnacentral:lncRNA from 1 species
GAUAGACUGGCACACAAAUCACUUCUUUCGAGAUGGAUGGGUCUCUAAUCUACUGUGUAAAGAUACAGGACAACAAGUGUGGAUGGUUGUUAGAGAACAACUAACACUGAGCGUGAUCAUACGAGAGAUUACUUGAAUUUCUAUUCAAUCACCAGUGAUUGUCUCGAUGCUGUAGUUGUGUGACUAAUCUUUUGAUUUAAGAUGAUACUGCUAUUCGCAGUGAGACUGUUGAAGUUUGAUUGAAACAUAAAUAUGAAU